rnacentral:rRNA from 1 species
ACCAUGCAGUCGACGAUCCUUCGGGGUGAGUGGCGCACGGGUGCGUAACGCGUGGGAACCUGCCUUUAUGUUCGGAAUAACCGUUAGAAAUGACUGCUAAUACCGGAUAAUGUCUUCGGACCAAAGAUUUAUCGCCUUUAGAUGGGCCCGCGUUGGAUUAGCUAGUUGGUGAGGUAACUGCUCACCAAGGCGACGAUCUAUAGCUGGUCUGAGAGGAUGAUCAGCCACACUGGGACUGAGACACGGCCCAGACUCCUACGGGAGGCAGCAGUGGGGAAUAUUGGACAAUGGGCGAAAGCCUGAUCCAGCAAUGCCGCGUGAGUGAUGAAGGCCUUAGGGUUGUAAAGCUCUUUUACUAGGGAUGAUAAUGACAGUACCUAGAGAAUAAGCUCCGGCUAACUCCGUGCCAGCCGCCGGGGGUUAAU